UACGUAGGGGGCAAGCGUUGUCCGGAAUCAUUGGGCGUAAAGCGCGUGUAGGCGGCUCGAUACGUCUGCUGUGAAAGUUCAGGGCUCAACCCUGAAAUGCCGGUGGAAACUGUCGAGCUAGAGUCCGGAAGAGGCGAGUGGAAUUCCUGGUGUAGCGGUGAAAUGCGCAGAUAUCAGGAGGAACACCAAUGGCGAAGGCAGCUCGCUGGGACGGUACUGACGCUGAGACGCGAAAGCGUGGGGAGCGAACAGG
rnacentral:rRNA from 1 species